GGGUAUGGUUUAACGGUAGAAUAGCGGUCUCCAAAACCGUUUGUGUGGGUUCGAUUCCUACUACCC
rnacentral:tRNA from 1 species